CGAACCACAUUGUGUCGCACGACAUGCUAGUCGAGCGCCUCAGCCAGACGAGGCGUGGCAUACACCUCAGUAACACUCGUUUAAUCUGCCCUUGGGACAAAAACAACCCCUGGAAACUGGUUCUAAUUUUUGACAGAUGAAGAACUCUGGAAUGAGUCUUCAUUUAAAAGACUUCACGUUAUGCUCGUGAUGUUGCCCAAGGAUGAUGCCGCGACCGAUCAGGUUGUUGGUGAGGUAAUGGCUCACCAAGCCUUUUACCGGUGCGGCCCGUGAGAGCGGGAGCCCGGAGAUGGUUCACUGAGACAAGGGUCCAGGCCCUACGGGGCGCAUCAGAUCGCGAAAACUUUGCAGUACACCAAAGUGUGACAGGGCUAUCCCGAGUGCCUUCCGCUGAGGAGGGCUUUUACCUAGUAUAGAUCGCUAGGGGAAUAAUGAGAGGGCAAGUCUGGUGUCACCCGCCGCGGUAAUACCAGCUCUCCGAGUGGUGUGGAUGUUUAUUGGGUCUAAAGCAUCCGUAGCUGGCUAAGUUAGUCCCUUGUUAAAACCUCCGAAUUAAUCGGUGGAUUGCGGGGGAUACUGCUUGGCUAGGGGACGAGAGAAGCAGAUGGUAUUUUCUGGGUAGGGGUGAAAUCCUAUAAUCCCGGGAAGACCAACAGUGGCGAAGGCUGUCUGCUACAACGCUCCCGACGGUGAUUGAUGAAAGCUGGGAGAUCGAACCGGAUUAGAUACCCGGGUAGUCCCAGCCGUAAACGAUGCAGGCUAUGUGUUUGGACGGCCACGUGCCGUUCUAGUGCCGCUCGUAAACUGUUAAGCCUGCCGCCUGCCGAGUACUAUCCUCAGAUUGAAACUCAGACGAAUUGACGGAAUCACUAGUAGAUU
rnacentral:rRNA from 1 species